CACAAUGAAGACUCUGGUGUUUGUGUCUCUCGUGGGAUUAUUCCUCCACGACACGACGGCAGAGAUGCACUCUCUGAAGAAUUUCUACACGGCGUCUUCUGAAGUCACAAACUUCCCAGAGUUUGUGAUUGUUGGGAUGGUUGAUGAUUU